rnacentral:rRNA from 1 species
GGAUUGAGAGCUUGCUCUCAAGAAGUUAAGCGGCGGACGGGUGAGUAACACGUGGGUAACCUGCCCAUAAGACUGGGAUAACUCCGGGAAACCGGGGCUAAUACCGGAUAACAUUUUGAACUGCAUGGUUCGAAAUUGAAAGGCGGCUUUCGGCUGUCACUCAUGGAUGGACCCGCGUCGCAUUAGCUAGUUGGUGAGGUAACGGCUCACCAAGGCAACGGUGCGUAGCCGACCUGAGAGGGUGAUCGGCCACACUGGGACUGAGACACGGCCCAGACUCCUACGGGAGGCAGCAGUAGGGAAUCUUCCGCAAUGGACGAAAGUCUGACGGAGCAACGCCGCGUGAGUGAUGAAGGCUUUCGGGUCGUAAAACUCUGUUGUUAGGGAAGAACAAGUGCUAGUUGAAUAAGCUGGCACCUUGACGGUACCUAACCAGAAAGCCACGGCUAACUACGCGCCAGCAGCCGCGGUAAUAC